UACGAAGGGGGCUAGCGUUGCUCGGAAUCACUGGGCGUAAAGGGUGCGUAGGCGGGCCUUUAAGUCAGGGGUGAAAUCCUGGAGCUCAACCCCAGAACUGCCUUUGAUACUGGAAAGCUUGAGUCCGGGAGAGGUGAGUGGAACUGCGAGUGUAGAGGUGAAAUUCGUAGAUAUUCGCAAGAACACCAGUGGCGAAGGCGGCUCACUGGCCCGGUACUGACGCUGAGGUGCGAAAGCGUGGGGAGCAAACAGG
rnacentral:rRNA from 1 species